GCCAGGCGUGGUGGCGCGUGCCUGUAGCCCCAGCUAUUCAGGAGGCUGAGGCUGGAGGAUCUCUUGAGUCCAGGAGUUUUGGGCUGUAGUGCACUAUCCCGAUUGGGUGUCCACACUAAGUUCGGCAUUAAUACGGUGACCUCCUGGGAGCGGGGGACCACCAGGUUGCCUAAGGAGGGGUGAAGCGGCCCAGGUUGGAAAUGGAGCAGGUCAAAACUCCUGUGCUGAUCAGUAGUGGGAUCGUGCCUGUGAAUAGCCACUGCACUCCAGCCUGGGCAACACAGCGAGACCCCAUCUGU
rnacentral:SRP_RNA from 1 species